AUAGCAAUAUCCUUAACAGACACCAGAGCGCAUGUAAUAAAGGGCAGUCCAACAUAUGGGCUUAUUAGUAGACGUGAUCUUAUACCUUUCAGCCUCUCCUAGCUGGGCCGUGCUGAAAGGAAACAGCAUCUUUCAGCCGAUUUCUCAUGGUUCUCGGCUUCAUCUGUUUGCCUUUGAUUCCGCAGUUAAGCUAAUUUGAUAAUGUGGUCUGCCUGGGAAGGAAGGGAGUAGAAGAAAUUGCCUAUUAUCCUUGGCUCCGCUCCAGGCAGUGUUUUUGCUAGGAGGCAUGGAGGUCAGAAAUGGGUGGGAAGCUUUCUCCGACAGCAAGUCCUUUCACAUGCUGGAUUCGCAGGGAGCCGCUCAUCCUCAUGAAACGCUUGGCGCUGGGGCCGGCAGGAGCUUCAGGGGCUUUGAAAUGGGCCGGGAGCCUUUUCCUGUGAGCGGCUCCUGUUUCAGGAGGCCUGGUGUGAAAACUGUCACCUGCAUCCGCUUCUUCACCUGGGGGCACAAAGCUGGGAGUUCCCAAGGGAGAGUCUAGGGCUUUGGGCCAGAAGAAGCCUCUUGGAGUGGCUGGUUUUCACCACGUCCUCCCGCCCCAUGCAGGAGCUCUAAGAUACCCACGCGUCUCCCCUGCAAAUUUGCUAGGGAGCAAUGCACUAUCCGCAGUGACCCUGGUGACUCGGGGUCUUCCGCCCCUGCCCUGCGCACCGCUGUGCAUCUUUCUCUGGUUGCUCUGCUGGGUGUCUGGAAGGAUGUGCCCUCCCAUGCGGCCCCGGUGUGAAUCGACCCUUUCCCAUGAGACUGCCCCUCACAACGUGUGGAUCCCAGGAACCACGCGGUGCCCUCAGCGGGGGCUCUGGGAAGGAUGGAGCGUGGCCAGGAAGCAACUGGAUGCCUCCAGCCACAGGGAGUGGGAAACCCAGACAGUCACACAUGAGAAACGCAUCAACCCGUGCCAGGCAGAUCCUGUACCAUUUGGCUCAUCUUUGGGGUCUCCGAGGCUGUCGAAGAUGGGAGCCAGACCCUGCCUUUAUUGCUGCUAAUUUUACUAUUGACUUUGCUGAGAGCAGACAAGGACCCUUAUGGACCAAAUGUGCCCCAUCACACCAUGCAGAAGAAACUUGGGACUUUCCACAAACAAAGUCGAAAAGGGCCAAGGAAUUUUCUUUCCAUUUUUUUUAACGAAGGGUUCAAACAAGCCUUUCCUGCAAUGAUUUGGACUGUUUCUUUUGAGACUAUUUCUUCUGUUUCUUUUGACUGUCCCACGUUCCACUAGGAAACCAUCAUCAGUUUGGGUUUUUUUAUUUUAUCAAGAACAUGGAAGCGUUUCACAUGACCUGCAAGGUUUGGUGCAAAAAAGGGCCCAUUUCAUUGAAAACAAAAUGUAUUUCCUGGGGAAAUUUCAACCAGCUUUAGUGCUAUAUAAAAACUCCCAAGUCUCCAGCACCCAUUGCUCUUAAAACCAAGGUGGCAUGCAGGUCAGUGGCUCUGUCACGGCUUUGGUUUGCGCCUGGGCAAAACACAUAACCACUCAUUAUUGCUUUUUUCCCCUCUCUGAAGUGGUCUACAUCAGCUGCUUCUCUGACUUCUGUGGCCUUCCAGUACCGCCGAUAACACGCAAAACCAAACCUCUUCCACAGUCUGUGUAUGAGCCAGAAUGUGAACAUCUGAAUGUCUAGGAACACCCUUCCCUUGAGAAAUAAAUCCUCAGCCAGUGACAACAAACAUCCAUGUUGGAGUACCUAUUUCCUGCUUGUUAAUACAGCCCUGAGAAAGGAGGGAAUGUGUCAUUUGUUUCAUUGAUGUCAAUAAGAGCUGCUGAGUAGAGCAAAGAGGACUGCCCUCCCCUUCUCCUGAUGACUUCUGGACAUUCGGUUUUAAAUGUGACGCAUAUUUUACGACUCAGAACUGCUUUGGGCCAGGGCGAUCCCCCCGCCGGGAUCUGCACUCAAUGCACAAGCACCGCAGUGAAAUCCCACGCCUCCCUGAGUGCCUCUCCCACCCCUGUCCCUAAUGCUUGAGGGAAAUGUUAUUAUUGCACCCAUUUUACAUGCAGAAAAAGAGCACCCAGGAGCAACCCCACCGUAACAAACCCGCAUGGGCAACGCAGCGAGGGCAAGGCCCUUUCCACACCCACGCCUGCCUCGCUGUUGGGACAGAGGGGAGGUGAUUGCACUGUGCACCCUGCGGUACAGCCUGUACUCUGAGGUGUGCAGCCCUGGGCAGUUCUGGCUGUAAAUCAGAGCACUGCUGGCAACUCAUGAUGGCACAGAGUCUUUCUACACACCGCAGCCCCACCCCAGGAUGGGCUGCAUCGAGGCCACGGGAUAGACCUAAGUAUGAAAAAAUAAUGGUUGCACGCUUCCCCAUCCCUUUGAACCUUGUCCCUUUCUGCAGGAGGAGGAAGAAAAUUAGGGGCAUCACGAGUUCUCAGAAAGUCAGUCCGUUAGCCAUGGCCCAGCCUUGGGUACAGGACCUGCCUCCAAAGCACUCACCAGGACUAAGGAAACUAUUAUCAAGUAGCAUGUGCAUGCAAUGUCUUUUUAAGACAUGCUGCUGCUGCUGCAAAAAAGGAGUGUGACUAGUGCUGUUUGCAAGACUCGCUGUUCAAAUUCCUCCAGUCAGCGCUGGCAAAAACAAAAAAAAACCAGAAACAGGACUUAAACUAUUGCAAGUCCAGCCACAUGUCUCCCUUACCCUUGGGAAUCGCAGUACAAUCCCAUUAUGGGACAGCUUUGGCUCAGAUCGUUUCACAUCGGCAGCUUCUCUAUAACUGGCUGCAGUAUUUUUAUCAGCUCAGACUUUCCGGGAUGACCUACUCACUUCAAUUCUUGCUUAACAACUUACAUUGCUUUUAUAUAUGUGAGUGCAUGUGCAUGUAUCGUCAGAGCGAUAGCUGCAGGUCAGCGGUGCUUGUGGUUUUCAAAAACAGUGGGCAGAGGACUGCAGGACUAGGCAUGACUGGGAGAGAGCAAGUAAAACCCAGUUUGAUGUCUGUCUUUUCAUUCCUACUUUUUUUUUGACCUGUGUAUAUAUAAGAGCAAAACAUGGAUUGGGAUGAUAAAGAGAUGGAAGUGACAUGAAGAAACAGACAUGCCCGUUGCUCAUGCGGCUGGUAGCUCUGCUGGUUGUAUUUAACAGGCAUUUGCCAUAAAAAAGCCUGUUUUUAUUUAAAUAGCCCAAGGCAGAUUUCUCACUAAACCAACUUUCCCACGCCAGCCCAGUGCUCUAACUCUGGUUUUGGCAAAUUUUUUCCUGAGCUGUCAAGGCAAAAUAUAUAUAAGAAGGCUGGUCUCACUUAGGGUUUUUUUUUUUUCCAGCCCCUGGAGACAUGAAAAUAAUUUACAGAUGUGCAUUACCUGUUUAUAUUUGUAUUAAGUUUUGCUUAGUGCACAUCAUUUUCCUAGCUUGCAGUAACAAAAAAAAUUCCCAGGGUUUCACUCAUUUAAUUUUAACUUAUUAAAAUGUUUAAAGGUAUUAUGUGGGGUUCUCCUUCCUUCUGAAAGAAAACUACUUGUAUGGACACUUGCCAGUGUUUCUAUUAAAGCAGUUUUACAAGCAUCACGUUAAAGCGUACCUAAAAUCCCAUUCCUUUAGCCCAAGAGACCAUUCCAAAUAAACACUUUCUUUGGAGCUUUGUUAUAGUCACCCACAACUUUUUCAAUUUAUUAUAAAAGUAUUUUCAUGUAGUGUUUAA